rnacentral:rRNA from 1 species
AUUGAACGCUGGCGGCAGGCCUAACACAUGCAAGUCGAGCGGAUGAAGGGAGCUUGCUCCUGGCUUCAGCGGCGGACGGGUGAGUAAUGCCUAGGAAUCUGCCUGGUAGUGGGGGAUAACGUCCGGAAACGGGCGCUAAUACCGCAUCCGUCCUGAGGGAGAAAGUGGGGGAUCUUCGGACCACACGCUAUCAGAUGAGCCUAGGUCGGAUUAGCUAGUUGGUGGGGUAAAGGCCUACCAAGGCGACGAUCCGUAACUGGUCUGAGAGGAUGAUCAGUCACACUGGAACUGAGACACGGUCCAGACUCCUACGGGAGGCAGCAGUGGGGAAUAUUGGACAAUGGGCGAAAGCCUGAUCCAGCCAUGCCGCGUGUGUGAAGAAGGUCUUCGGAUUGUAAAGCACUUUAAGUUGGGAGGAAGGAAAGUAAGUGAAUACCUUGCUGUUUUGACGUUACCAACAGAAUAAGCACCGGCUAACUUCGUG